rnacentral:rRNA from 1 species
UACAGAGGAGCCAAGCGUUGUCCGGAUUGACUGGGCGUAAAGCGCACGCAGGCGGACGCGCGCGUGGGGUGUGAAAUCUGGCCGCUUAACGGCCAGGCGCCAUCCCAUACGGCGCGUCUGGAGUGAUGCAGAGGUCGAUGGAAUUGCCGGUGUAGUGGUGGAAUGCGCAGAUAUCAGGAGGAACACCAAUAGCGAAGGCGCUCAUCUGGCCCAAUACUGACGCUGAGGCGCGAAAGCUAGGGGAGCAAACGGG